UCUGGCUCAGCAAGACAAGGUGCUGGAGUCCUGAGCUGGCAGGGAAAACAGAAGCAGGGGUAGUCUUGGUACAUCAGGUGGCAGCUCCCAAGGGGGAUUCUGUGAUCCAACCCGUCACAGGUACUUGCAUCACACAUGAAAGGUGAAUAUAGUCAAUCUUUACAUGCAGAAGAUUUAUUCAGAAAGUGCAGAGUGAAAGAGGAGGAACAAGAGUUCAUAACCAGCAAAAAGGAUGUGUCAGUUUAUAGGACUGGAGUUCACUCAGGGUCAAAUCCCUCCCUCCUGCAUAGAGCUAUGGGUAACCAGGCUCUAUGCAGGCAGGAUGCAGAGGGCGUUGAAACCUACCUUCCUAAGCUCACGUAAGCCCAUGGGCUGGGGUAGCAGCCAGAGCCCCUCUGCACCAGAUGCACUGGGCGUGAAAAUUCUGUUAAUGAGAGUUUUGUCAUUGAUUUCAGCCAGGAUUUCACCCUAGAUCUUGGGGCCACUGGAUUUGUGUGAACAUAGACCCCAUGGGCCCAUCCGAUUGUGUUUUUUCAGGCCAGCCUAUGGGAAGCUGGCACGGAGAGUCUUUCCACGGUGCAAAGAGGUUCUUUUAUUUGUCCCCACAUUGUAUCUGUGUCCUUGUUUGUUAUGGCCAUGUUGCCACGUGAGGCACCCUGAGCUAGCCUCAUGCAGCAGAUUCUCAGCUGGUGCAAGUGGUCACAUCUCCACUAACUUCAUUGGAGCUAUGACAGUUUAUACCUGCUGAAGAUCUGCCCCAGUGAGUAAAUGUCACUCCUAAAACACAGAUUACAAACACAUAUGGCAAUGCAUGAACAGAAGCAAACCAUGAAAUUGGGAUUACAGCACUCAGAAUUAACCUGAUGGGUGUAGGUUUAGCCAUAACCUAAAAUAGGUUGUGUCCAAAAUGUACUCUGAAACAGAAAAUAUCAGGUUUCUCCGUUUCAUGAAUGUAUUAUUAAGACAGGAUAGCAUUCCGACUGUACCCAGCAAAUACAUCAUUGACAGAGUGGUACUAACAAAAAAUUAUCUUUAGUUGAAGAUAUUUGAAAGUGAGAUCUAGGCUACAAUUUUCAGAGAUGUUAAUUCUCUGAGGGCCAAAUUCAUACCUGAUGAAUCUCUACAGAAGUCAGUGGAGUUACAGCAGAAUUAAAUUUGGCCUCAGAUGUGUUGUGCAGAUGGCACAGUUGCUCUCUAGGGUGCCGCCUGCACUGCCUUAUGAUCUCACUAUAUUUACAUUAGAUGUUUUGUGAAGAGGUAAUAACAGCAACCUCAGAGGAAGCUACACAUUCUACCACCCCAGCCAGAUUGGGUAAAUGUCCUAAGGGUAGUGGCAGCUGUUGGCCUGUAGAACGAAGGGAUGAGUUUUGCCCUUUCAUUGCCUAUGAGCUCAUUCCAGCAAAAAUAAAAUUAACUCCCCCACUCCCUGCAUGAAGUUCAAAUUUCAACUUCCUCCAUUUAGCAGCAAUAACAGCAGAUGGGAGAGCUAUGCCAAAACCGUGCUGCUAGUGUGUACAAGUCAGUAAAUAACAGUACUUAGCGGCUUAUACUAUUUUAAUAUAUGUUUUCAUUCAUGUGAAUAUACGUUUUCACUAUUUCCCUCCUCAGUAAAUGCUUAAAACAUUUUAGAGGCAAAAUAAGAACAAUUUUGGUUUUCAGGGAGAAAGAAAACAGUAAAGUUAGACAACGGAAGUUUUUCCAAGUCAAACUGGAGUGUUUUGGAACAUCAAGCACAUCUGGGAAGCGUAUGUACGGGAAUAAGCACAGUCUGACACAGUUGUAUGUUACAGAAAUUACAGAGACAUAUCCUGGAAACCCAACCUGGAAAACAAGGUUAACGUAUUCACAGAAUCCCCAUGGAACCUGGAGUCCUAGAGGCCAUACAAAUUGAAGAACAAAACCUGAAGAAUCGGUGCAAUCUAAACCAUAGAAGAACCUUUAUAUGUACUAAGAAGAGAAGCAGAAGACUAUCAUUUGUGACUUCUCUGUUGAAAAUGACAAACUUUCUAAUAAGCAGAAGGUUAAUUUGAAUAUGUGGGAUUCAGGGAAGCACAAGAUGGUACUGUAUAGCUGCAAUGUGAGGACUUAGACUGGCAAAUGAUUCUAUCCAAAAUAAACAGCUUACAAGAACUACUCUGAUCAUCCAUCUCUUUACUUUGGCAACAUACAACCCAGUUCCCUAAAUAUAGAUCUUGUUUUGUGUACAUUUGUGUACUCUUGCUACAAUGUAUCCAUUAAAACGCUGUAUUCUGGUUUGCAAUUCCAUAUAUGUCUAUUUGAUUCUUGACCCCUUUCAGUUUCACAAACUUCUUCCAACCCUACAAAUCCUUUGGCUUCAGGGACUACCUUUACAGAAAGGCAUACAGCAUUAAGUUUUUAUUCACCAAUUGUGUGAAGGAAAAGGUUUAAAAACACUAGAGCAUUGUAAGUUUUUUCCUCCCAGGUCAGUACUUUUCAAAAACAUAAUCACUGGCAGAUCAGAGGAGUUGUACUUCUUUCAUUUCUCUGAAAAACAGAACACACCUUCUAUGGGUUAAAUGUUCUGGUUUCCAGAACCUGGUUACAAAAAUUGUAAAAAAAAAAAAAAAAAAAUGUUGUUUUAAA